AUUGGUUCUUGGCCUUUUAGCUAAGAUCAAAUGUCGUAUCUGUUCUUACCAGCUUAAUAUCUGAUACAGCCUCCCUCCGAGGACAAUAAAUUAAACGGAUUUUUGGAACUAGGAGAUGGAAUAGGAGCUUGCUCCAUCCACUCCAUGCGUUGACCUGGGAUUGCAGUACGCCCAGGAAUAGUGCGCCCCCU
ensembl:snRNA U2 U2 spliceosomal RNA